UCCUGGAAUCUGCUGUUGUCAAAUAUCGCGGGAGCCGCCUCCCUAAUCACUACGUAAUGUGCCGUGCUGCUUCUAGCGGCGCUGGUGACAGUGCUGAAAGCUGUUGGGUAUGAAGUGAAACCGAACUGAAUUUUUGUACCAUCCGCAACUGCUUCAAGUUCAGAUCACAACUAAAGGAACUGAAGACAAACCUCCCAGAUUAAAAAAAAAAGUUGCAACACUGAAGCCAAGUGGGGGGAGAAAAGGAUCACUUCAAGGAUUUAAAAACACAAGAGAAACAAAAAUCCUGAAACGACCAAAGAACACGCACAUCAGCCCAACUGAAACGUGAAAGAGAAGCAAUCCUGUGCCCAAGCAUAUUCUAAGAAGAAA